rnacentral:rRNA from 1 species
UACGGAGGGUGCGAGCGUUAAUCGGAAUUACUGGGCGUAAAGCGCACGUAGGCGGCUUUGCAAGUCGGGUGUGAAAUCCCCGGGCUCAACCUGGGAACUGCAUCCGAGACUGCAUUGCUAGAGUAUGGGAGAGGGAAGCGGAAUUUCUGGUGUAGCAGUGAAAUGCGUAGAUAUCAGAAGGAACAUCAGUGGCGAAGGCGGCUUCCUGGGCCAAUACUGACGAUCAGGUGCGAAAGCGUGGGGAGCAAACAGG